CACUUGUGGGAUCAUCCCUGCAGCUGCGCUGCCAUUCACUUAUGCCACUUAUGGGUUUCCUACCCGGCUAUAAUCCCUCCAUCCCCCGCUUGAGAAGGCACCCCAACCCGACUCCACCUCUCAGGGACCACAGCGAUGCAUCCCUAACAGAACGCGUGUCCAUACUAUCCUGUCCACCCCUGCAGAGUGCUGGAGUCUUUGACACAACAGGCCCCGCCCUUGCGUGAGUCCCGCCCAUCGCCACAGCCCAUUGGCGCUCGGGCGGGGCGUGGGCGGCUCCUGCGGGUGCAGGCGGGGCAGCGGUUCCAAGGCUGGCGCGCGUGGGCCAGGGCUUCAGUGCUUGCUGAGUACGGGAGUGUCUGGCGUCUCUACCUCCUCAUCAUGAGUGACUUGGAUUCUUCGAGCUCCAGCGCCUAUCCGAAGUACCUGGAGCACCUCUCUGGGGAUGGCAAAGCUAUCGGUGUCCUGACCAGCGGCGGGGAUGCCCAAGGCAUGAAUGCUGCUGUCCGCGCUGUGGUGCGCAUGGGAAUCUACACGGGGGCCAAAGUGUACUUUAUAUAUGAGGGUUACCAAGGCUUGGUGGAUGGAGGCUCCAAUAUUGUGGAAGCCAAAUGGGACUGUGUCUCCAGCAUUCUGCAAGUGGGUGGGACCAUCAUCGGUAGUGCGCGCUGCAAAGCCUUUCGAAGCCGUGAAGGGCGCCUGAAAGCUGCCUGUAACUUGGCGCGCUUGGGCAUAACCAAUCUGUGCGUGAUCGGCGGGGACGGAAGUCUCACGGGAGCCAACCUCUUCCGAAAGGAGUGGAGCGGACUUCUGGAAGAGCUGGCUCGGAAUGGUGAUAUCGAUAACGACACAGUGCAGAAGUAUUCCUACCUCAACGUGGUGGGUAUGGUGGGCUCCAUUGACAAUGACUUCUGUGGCACAGACAUGACCAUUGGUACAGAUUCAGCCCUGCACCGAAUUAUUGAAGUUGUUGAUGCCAUCAUGACCACUGCUCAGAGCCACCAGAGGACCUUCGUCCUGGAGGUGAUGGGGAGACACUGUGGUUACUUGGCCUUGGUGAGCGCCUUGACUUGCGGUGCCGACUGGGUGUUCCUUCCGGAGUCUCCACCUGAGGAAGAUUGGGAGGAAAAUAUGUGCCUCAAACUCUCAGAGAACCGAGCCCGAAAAAAGAGGCUGAAUAUCAUCAUUGUGUCUGAAGGAGCAAUCGACAUGCAAAAUAAGCCAAUCACCUCUGAGAAAAUCAAGGAGCUUGUAGUGAAGAAUUUGGGAUUUGACACCCGGGUCACCAUCCUUGGGCAUGUCCAACGAGGAGGGACCCCAUCUGCAUUUGACAGGAUUUUGGCCAGCCGUAUGGGAGUGGAGGCUGUCAUUGCCUUGCUGGAAGCUACCCCCGAGACCCCAGCCUGUGUCGUGUCACUAAGAGGAAACCAAGCAGUGCGCCUGCCACUGAUGGAGUGUGUGCAAAUGACCCAGGAUGUACAGAAGGCAAUGGAUGAAAGAAGAUUUAAGGAAGCCGUGAAACUCCGAGGAAGGCGUUUUGAGGGAAACCUGAACACCUAUAAGCGUCUUGCCAUUAAACUGCCUGAUGAGAAGAUUGUCAAGAGCAACUGCAAUGUAGCCGUCAUCAAUGUAGGGGCACCUGCUGCCGGAAUGAAUGCAGCCGUGCGCUCUGCUGUUCGAGUCGGGAUUGCAGACGGCCACAAGAUGUUUGCAAUCUAUGACGGCUUUGAAGGAUUCGCCAAUGGCCAAAUCAAAGAAAUCGGCUGGGCAGAUGUCGGAGGCUGGACUGGACAAGGAGGGUCCAUUCUUGGGACAAAACGCACCCUACCUGGAAAGUACUUGGAGAAGAUCGCAGAGCAGAUGCAUUCCCAUAGUAUCAAUGCCCUUCUGAUCAUUGGAGGAUUUGAGGCCUACCUAGGACUCCUAGAGCUGGCAGCUGCCCGGGAGAAACAUGAGGCGUUCUGUGUCCCCAUGGUUAUGGUUCCUGCUACUGUCUCCAACAAUGUGCCGGGUUCCGAUUUCAGCAUCGGGGCAGACACAGCUCUGAACACUAUCACAGACCCAGUGGUAAUAUGAGAGAAUGAAAGCUGAAUGGUAGGUAGGUAGCCGUUCCUGAGGGCUUCAGGCUCACUCAUGCAGGGUAAGUUGGUGUGCACCUGCACUUUGUUGUUGUUGUUUUUGUGGGUUUUUUUGUUUUUGUUUGUUUUUUUUUUUUUUGGCUGCUCUUUGUUUCUGAUGUACCUGGGACCUGGGUCUUCACGGUUUUGUGAUCUCAAGGUGGGUGGCUGAAGCCAGGCCAGCUGAGAUAACCUUGGUGAAGGUUGCCACUGCUCUGGAGCUGAUAGCUGUGUGGGGAUGAGAAUACAGUUCAGAGGCCCUUGGCACAUCCCCAAGGGUAAAACGACUAGAGCAUGGAAGAAAAGCGUUAAUUUUAAUAGUGGGAAGUUGACCUCUAGUGGACAGCUGUGAUGAUGGACAUUUUGCGUCAUCAGAGGUAGGAGAGAGGAGUCCCUCAAGUAUUCUGAGUAGAUAUCAGGAAUGCUGUUCACUGCCUUACAGUGUUGGGGACAGUCCCUACCACAGAGAUGACUCAGUCUCAGAGUAUCUACUGUCUUGAGGUGAGAAAGCCUGAGCUUGUCCAGUCUGAUCAAACACCAUUGCCCUUGAGUGUUGACCAUUGCCUUCACAAAUCCUUUCCCCUUCACCAGCAACGAAGCUCAGAUAUAAGCGUGUCCCUUGCCUGCAUCUCAGUAGCUGCAAGGGUAAUGGAUGAGUUCUCUGGACUGCAUGUCAAAAUGGGCAUGUCAGAAAUCUGGUGUUGGAAUAUUGAGUGAGGCUUUUCAACGGGACUUGGUUUUAUUCCUUACCAUCAGCAUUGAGCUUUGUCCCAGUCAAAAAACACAACCAAGGCAUGCUAACUGGGAGCUGCCACUGAAUGCCAGGACUGGUGACAUGACUACAGUUCUGAGGGCGUCCCAAAUUGUGAACACUAGGAGAUUGAACAUGGGUCCUGAUAACUUUGAAUCAACCCUUGUUGCAGCAUGCGCAGUCAAAAUGUCUAAGGUGGCUUUAUUGGUGUUUUCAAAGUUGCUGAUGCCCCCUGUAGGAUCUAGAAGCAAGACUUUCUGGAUGGCUUCUUCAGAGUUUGCUACUUCUCCUGGGUAUGGUUUCCCUCCUGGAGCUUCUCUUUUAGUUGCUUAGAGAGGGAAGAAAGCUCUUGCAACGAUAUCGCCAUCACCAACAAUGUCCGAAUGACAUUAAGGCACUAACCCCUCUAUUCCCUACCUGCCCUCCUCCUACACCCCUGGCCCCCAUUCUCUCCCAGCCCACAGGAAAGGCUCUGGUCUGUCAGGCAUCUUGCCUACUCCCCUAUGACUUCCAGUGGAAGGCCUCUCAAAGACACAACUUCUUUCUGUACAAUUUAUUCUUAAUGGAUACCUAGCAAAAAUGGUCCUCAAAAAAAUAGAAAUUUUUUUUUGGAAAGUUCCGAGGAGCCCAGUGCAUUGACCAGCGGGGGCACUCAGAGGGUUUUCACAUUGGGCACCAUUUUGAAUGCAAUCAAUUGUAACAACCAUAACCUUAGCACAAAACGCCCAAGGACAUGGAGGGCAGCCAAAAGACUUAGCGCCAACUGUGGGUGGAGGUGAAGGUGGAGGUCUGGUUGUGUUGGAAAGAGAAGAAACCCUGUCACUGGCCAGUGUCAGCUACCCUGUCUGACCUAUUGACUGAUCAUACCAAGGACUAACGUAUCCCAGGUCCAUGACCCACUGUCCAGAAUCCUUGGAGCACACAGGUUUUACAUCUCAGGACGAUUCGGUUGCAGGAAGAUGGUCUAGACCGUACAACAUUUAUCACAGCUGCCUUGUGGGGCGGCAGCGUCCGUGCUGUAUUUGAACAAUAAUCCUGCAGCAACCUGAUGAUUAUAUUAUUUUAAGAAAGAUAAAUAAGAUUCAUGGGUCAGACUUGCCAUCCGCAAUGGUCUAAAAAAUACCCUACAUACUGUUGGGAGCUGCCUGGAUUUAGGAACUGUGGGUGAGUAGACCUGUACGCUACCACUAACCCAGCUCUAAUAUCUGAGGCAGGUGCUGGAAACCUCUGCAUACUAACUAGUAGCCUUCUUUACAAUAGAGUCAGACAGUUUUAAUUAUCGCUUCAAAGCAGUGCCUGAGAUUCCAAAUGAUUUCUCUUGCUUCCUGUAAGCACUGCCAAAGGUCUAGGAAGAAUGCUUCCUCCAGGAGGGAGACAGAUUUUCCAGUGGGGAGCAGAGGGGCACAGUGAUGAUGGUGUGGGUCUUGGGGUAGACCUGCAGGUAAUGUAAAAUGCAUGCCUCUUUUCCUGUCAGCCUUUGGCGGUGGUGCAGUGAACCAGCUGCAUUGGUGAUCUCAGUCAUUUGAUGUUCUCCAUGAGCCCCGUGCUCCUCCCCAUUCUCCACUCCACCUAAAGAAGUGUUGGGAUGGGCUUUGCGCCGAAAGGCCCCCAACCUCACUCUCUUUCCCCACCUCCUCUUCAAUGCUGAGAAAGGAGCAGCAGUUCCAUCUAAUGACUAACCCUCGAUGCACCUCUGUCCCCUCGGCCUGCUACCUGCUUUGCUGUCUGCUUUGCCCCACCUUAGCCACUUGUGUCUUCUUCCUGUGGGACAAGGUGAGGGCUGAGGGAUAUACCCAGUGGCCUGUGAAUAGUUGAAGCAUGCCCUUCGCCUGCCCAGAUGCCAAUUCUGGCCUCUCGUGGGCUCUGCUGGCCCAUGUGGACCAACUUCCCGCUGGUUACUUGGUUCCCUCCCUGUCACAUCCCUGGAGUUACUGCCCACGCUCAGUAACUUGGCAAGUGAUGUACCAGCACUUUGCUAACUGCUAUGGCCCUGCUGCUUCAGGGUUAUCAUGGUGCCAUCAUGCUAUCUGAGGCUCGAAACAACCAUGAGGAGUUUUGUAUCCCAAUAUGUGUUUUGCCUGCCACUAUUAGCAACGAUAUCCCUGGCUCAGACAUCAGUAUCGGUUGUGAUACUGCCCUGAAUGUGAUUGUCGAGGUAAGAGACCUUCUGCUUCAAUUUUUACUUUGCUUUGCCUGAACGGGGUUGUUCUCCUCCAUUUAGCCCUCCUGACAGCUCAAAUUCUCAACUUGUAGUCUUUAACCUUCACCUGUCCGACCUUAACUAGAAAUUGAAAAAAGAUACCCUUUCAUGGUUUUCAGAGGGAAUAAGCCAAAACUUAUCUUUACCACUUGGCCAUACCUUUGAUAAUAAGAUGGUGAUCCUAUUAUCAUGGUGAGAGUCCUUGCUGUUUUAACUCAACAUGAAAUGCUCUAUGCGGGCCUCUCUGUAGUGUCUCUGUACCACCUGAGCAGGAGAGCUGUGGACAUCACAUCUCUUAAGGUCAGCUGCUUCUGUCCAAAGUCCCAUUGUUAGAGUUGUGAUGUUGGGGGAAGGUUACAGCACAAGUGUCAGGAGUGAGCACAGAGGAUUGCGCCUGGUUACCCAGAGUAAGCAUGGUCAGUAUAAAUCCAGAAACUAAGGAACCCAAGGCUUACACAGGCUUCCCGGUGAGAUGAGAGGCAUUCCAGGAGACAAAGUCACUCUCUGAGAGGAAGGCGACUUCACCUGCUGCAGGUGCUCCAUGUGGUACUGGUGUCUACAUUGGUAACACAGGUAAUGAACUGAAUGUACUAGGUGCUUCUGAGGCAGGAGGCUGUCUGCUAGCUCCCAGAGUCCUUUGUGCAGUCAGCAGUUAUACAACAGUAGAAUGGACGGUGGUCAAGCAUGUAGGGUGGCAUCUUACCAUGCUCAGUUCCUUCCAAAGGCAACAAGCUGAUCUCUUACUUGACAUGUUCACAUCUGACCUGGUGCAUAACCCUGUAUGUCGUGACCCCAAGGGGGUGUCACAUAUCAGAUACCCUGUAUAUCAAAUAUUUAUAUUACCAUUCAUAACACUAGCAAAAUCACAGUUAUAAAGUAGUAAGGAAAUAAUUUUAUGUUUGGGGGUCACCAGAACACGAGGAACUCCAUCUACGCAUCACGGAGUUAGGAAUGUUGAGAACUACUGCCUUAGAGCUUACAGUGAGUUUUAAACAUUAGAGCGAUUCCUUAUAUCCCAAGUUCUCUCUACUAAGUUAAAUUACUUGGCAGGAAAAAUGGGAAGGUGCCCAUUUGGACCAAGCAUCCGAAUCUUCCAUUAAGAUCUUGGCAUGGGACUAUUAAAUGGAUUGCAAUACUCUAGGUAUGUCCCUUCUAACCUGUCUGUUGGUGGAGCUCUUAAACAAUGUGAAAGCUCCCCUGACGCCUACUUAUCUUCCUUGGAGUUUAAUAACUUUGCAUGUUAAAUAGAAUCACACAGAAGCCUGUAGACUGAACCCUAGUCAUUGGAUGACUUAGGGCCAAGAGAGUCCAGAGCUUUCCCCUCUAACAACUUGGUUGACAGUGAUAUCAUAGGUAGAAGUCCUAGAUGGGCCAACAUGCUUCAGCCUUCUGGCUUAGACCCUGACUGACAGGGAAGUGAGGAUCAGUCAGUUUUCUCUGCCGGUACCUAGUAUGACAAGAUUCUCUCUGCCUAGACUGCCUAGCCCCUUCCCUUUCUGGCUUCCCUCCUGAGUUCUUCAGUAAGUACUCUGAAAGAAUACCAGUUAUGGGAUCAGGGGCAAAGAGAGAAGGAAACCUCUUAUCUUGUUAAUAAGACAUGAUUGCCCCCACACUAAUUAAUAUAACCCUUAAAGGAAGAUCUAGUUCUGCGACAGACUCUGCCUUACCGCCUCACGUUUCAAGUAUGUUACUGAAAAGAGAAGUGUGUGUAGCGGACUGGCCAUGAUGUUGGAACUGUAGCUUGACAUUCUUCCUCCAGCAGCACUCCUCACAGAGGCCUCCCCCAGAGAAAAACGGCUCUAUGCCCUUGGGCAGUGAUGAACUUGCCUAUGAGCCAGUUGUUGUAGCAUAAGAGGCAGGAGCCCUAAAUGGUUCCCCCUCUUGGCCAGAAGUCAGGGAAGCCCCUCCGUGUGUCACCAGCACAUGUCAGAUGGCCUUGAUAUACUGGCUCUUUCAAUGCCGGUGCUGCCUUUAGUAAUUGAGUGAGGCAAGGCAAGGGUGGCUUACUAUUUUUAGAAGGAACUGUUUGAAAUCUCCAGGUGCAGUCUGGGUAACGAGAGAGCAUUGAGGAGGGGUGUCCAGAAGCAGAGGCAGAUCAUUCCAAACACCUGUUGGUGGUGGUGGUUUUCCAGCCAGGGGUAAGCAGGUUUAGUCUAAUCAGUUUGUUUAUGUCUGUCUCAUCAACAGCCUGUUUGGAUCAGAGCUUAGAGAUCCGUAUUCACAGACCUGGGGAACAAAGUGUUCUUUCUUUGUCAUCUUCUUGAAUCAUUAAGUGACUGCAACAUAGUGUUCUGGAUUAGUGGGCAUUUGGGAAAGAUUAAAGUAGGACAUUAACCUGUGUGGCUUUGUUCCCCGCAGGGGACUGGGUACCUACCUCAGCAGAGCCUUCUGUUCUGAUCUGCAGUCUUCCUUUACUUGUAGGAGGGCUCUGUAACAAAGACCACACGGUGACCCUUUCAGCGCUUGAGUAUCACAGAGAGAUAUCCAGCACAACAUGAACCCCCUCUUCCUUUGUUCCAUCUCUGUUUCUAGAGAAUCCAGGGCUUCCCACCCACCAAAGCACAUGCAGGGGGAUUCACUAGAGAAAUUACAGAUUGGAAUGUUUUUCUUAAAACCCAUGUUUGUUCAUAAGCAUGAUGAUGUGUUAAGUAUAACUCAGAGGGAUCAUGUGAAAAUCUCCAAAUGGCUCUUUUGACUUUGCACAUUCCCUAAAGAUCUGUGACUGUGACUGUUGCAGUCCAAGUACCCCUUCACCCUCGUGACGUCUCUCUCCUCUUCCCUCCUGACUGUUAAUGGGCACUUUUCUUUUCAGUGUUAAGCAUCUCCUGUGUUGGAGGCACAGCUGGCUGGGACAGGUUCUGUCAUACCUGUCCUCCAUCAGCCCCGCCCAGGGCUCCUGUCCUCCAGGGACUUCAAUCUGGAGAGGAAAUAUCCAAAUCUAAUAAGACACUUUUUAGGAAAGCAUACUGGGAUGAAGGGAGGACACAGAGGGACUGUCACUCCUGGAGGUCACAUAGUGUCUUCCUGAGGAAAUGACUUUCUAAGUGGGUCACAGGGUGCAGAUAAGAGAACAGGAAAGAGCCUGAGUGGAUUUCUUACAAUUGUAAUAAAUGGCUGUAUACUUGCUGUUAACCUAAUAGCCAUUUGCUCAUAGCAGUGAGGGGCAGAAGUCAGGGAACUGAAGUCAAGGUGUGAGCUCUCAGGGAGAGGCUGUCCCUAUAUCUUCUGCUUUCGCAAACUGUGACCCUGGCAUUCCAUGAACCCUAACCUCUGUUGCAUCCUCUUAGAUGGCACAAACCCUCUCACUCCUUUGUGUAGUAGCUUUGUGUAGUUAUUGUGCCCUGGCUUCUCUUGACUCCUUUACAGUGACACUAUGACAACCUCUUAGAUGAUCCAGACAAACCCCACCUCAAGAUGUAUAAGAGGAGUUCCAGGGAGUGUGUAUGGAAUACCUUUAGGGGCCUCUAUGUUUACUUCUUCACUGUGCCUGGAGACUGCUGUCUGAAGGUCCAGAGAGGCUCAAGAGAGUAGCGUCUCUGAGCUAGGACAGCACCUGGACCUGGGAGCUGGACAGGGUGCUGGGGAUUGGCAGGGCUAUGCAUCCCAUAGAAAAGCCUUGAGGAGUACUUACAAGAGAGUGCUGAGGGGGUUGAAGAAUCCAAGGACACCAUCAGGUUUGGAUUGCAUGUGUGGAUCUCCAUUUCCUUGGAACAGAACGCAUGCUGAGAAUGAGGUAGAAGGCUACCACUGAUUUCUGAGGAAAAGAUUGACACUUGCAUUGCUGCCGUGGGUGUGAGGCCCUGAGUGGUUUUCAGCUAUCCUCCGUCCUGAACCUGGGUCCUUUUGUAGAAUGGUUGGCAGUGGGUUUCAAUAUGAGAGUGCCUGGAAGAUAUCUCUGGGUGCCUUUGUCCAGGAAGCUGUUCUCUUUGGACAUAGGUACCCUUUACGAAAGAUCCAAGGCAAACAAAACAUCCAACAUCACAAAGAGCUUUUCACAGUGAAACAUCAGCAAAGUAAAAAGAAAAAAUAGGUAGUUGGAUAACCAACAUUCCUAGAGAAAUAUUAAUUCACAUCAGCUAAAUAUUGACUUGCAAAAAAAAAUAUACUUCCAGCAAAGAUAUAGUCAAACAGUUCAGGAAGUGAGCUGAGUUGAGUGACUAGUCUCCAGGGUAAUGGCCUAGCCAGGGCUCCACCUCGGAUGAUCACAGAGAUACUGACAGGCUGCACAUGAGCAGUUUUGCCAUUGAGCCUCUCUGUAGCCAAUGCUUGCUUCUGCGCACACGCUUGGGUUUGGUGGAGGGACAUGCUGCAGCUUGUGGGGAGAACAGGUCCUGGGCCGGUGCACAUGUGGCACUAGCCAAGGUCCUGGAUUCAAAUGACAACUCUCUAUGUCUGUAACUAGACGUGCGACCGCAUUAAACAGUCAGCCAGUGGGACCAAGCGCCGGGUGUUCAUCAUUGAGACCAUGGGUGGAUACUGUGGCUACCUGGCCAACAUGGGGGCCCUUGCAGCAGGAGCUGAUGCUGCCUACAUCUUUGAAGAGCCAUUUGAUAUCGGAGAUUUGCAGUCCAACGUCGUGCACUUGACAGAGAAAAUGAAGACCAGCAUCCAGAGGGGCCUCGUACUCAGAAACGAAAGCUGCAGUGUAAAUUAUACCACUGACUUCAUCUACCAGCUCUACUCAGAGGAGGGCAAAGGAGUGUUUGACUGCAGGAAAAACGUGCUGGGCCAUAUGCAGCAGGGGGGAGCACCGUCUCCAUUCGAUAGGAACUUUGGAACCAAGAUUUCUGCCAAAGCAAUGGAGUGGAUCUCGGCCAAACUGAAGGGGUCCCAGGGCACAGGGAAAAAAUUUGUUAGCGAUGAUUCCAUUUGUGUCCUGGGAAUUUGCAAGAGAGAUCUCCUGUUUCAACCAGUGGCAGAGCUGAAGAAAGUCACUGACUUUGAGCACAGGAUCCCCAAGGAGCAGUGGUGGCUGAAACUGCGGCCCAUCAUGAAGAUCUUGGCCAAGUAUGAGGCGAGCUAUGACAUGUCUGAUUCAGGCAAGCUGGAGUCCUUGCAGCACCAUGAAGAACUAUGAGCCAUCUCAUCAAGUCUGCCAUCACCUGACCUGGAAUGUUCUCCAGGGACCAUCCUUUUUUGUAACAUAGUUAUUUAUCAGCACUUUAUGGAAGCAAGCAUUGUUGACGGAGUCAGCAGUAAUAAUCAGAGAGCACCACUUGCCAUCACCACUGAUGCAGCAGACCCUAAGACAUGAAACCCAGCCUCACGCUAUUGAUCAGGUGUCAGUUUUCUACUGUAUGGGAUACUGUCUUGUGCUUUACCAUGUGUAUGUCUUGUGGGAUUAAACAUUUGGUUACAACUCC